rnacentral:rRNA from 1 species
AGUUUGAUCAUGGCUCAGAACGUACGCUGGCGGCACGCCUAACACAUGCAAGUCGAACGAAGUAGCAAUACUUAGUGGCAGACGGGUGAGUAACAUGUGGGUAUCUGCCCUUUGGCCUGGAAUAACACGAGGAAACUUGUGCUAAUACCGGAUAAGUCUUUACGGAGAAAGCUUUAUGCACCAUUGGAUGAGCCCGCACUUGAUUAGUUUGUUGGUAGGGUAAUGGCCUACCAAGACUGAGAUCAAUAGCUGAUUUGAGAGGAUGAUCAGCCACAUUGGGACUGAGACACGGCCCAAACUCCUACGGGAGGCAGCAGUGGGGAAUCUUGCACAAUGGAGGAAACUCUGAUGCAGCGAUGCCGCGUGAGUGAAGAAGGCCCCUGGGUUGUAAAGCUCUUUCGUCGGGGAAGAAAAUGACUGUACCCGAAUAAGAAGGUCCGGCUAACUUCGUGCCAGCAGCCGCGGUAAUACGAAGGGACCUAGCGUAGUUCGGAAUUACUGGGCUUAAAGAGUUCGUAGGUGGUUGAAAAAGUUGGUGGUGAAAUCCCAGAGCUUAACUCUGGAACUGCCAUCAAAACUUUUCAGCUAGAGUUUGAUAGAGGAAAGCAGAAUUUCUAGUGUAGAGGUGAAAUUCGUAGAUAUUAGAAAGAAUACCAAUUGCGAAGGCAGCUUUCUGGAUCAUUACUGAUACUGAGGAACGAAAGCAUGGGUAGCGAAGAGGAUUAGAUACCCUCGUAGUCCAUGCCGUAAACGAUGUGUGUUAGACGUUGGAAAUUUAUUUUCAGUGUCGCAGCGAAAGCGAUAAACACACCGCCUGGGGAGUACGACCGCAAGGUUAAAACUCAAAUGAAUUGA